UACGUAGGGUGCAAGCGUUAAUCGGAAUUACUGGGCGUAAAGCGUGCGCAGGCGGUUUGUAAGUCUGUCGUGAAAUCCCCGGGCUCAACCUGGGAACUGCAUCUGUGACUGCAUUGCUGGAGUGCGGCAGAGGGGGAUGAAAUUCCGCGUGUAGCAGUGAAAUGCGUAGAGAUCGGGAGGAACACCUGUGGCGAAGCGGCCGACUGGGCCGGACCCUGACGCUGAGGCGCGAAGGCGUGGGGAGCGAACGGG
rnacentral:rRNA from 1 species